CACACACACACCUAGCUGUCUCUCUUUCUCUGUCUCAUUCUGCGGCGUACCUCGCAUAGUUGUAUUUCAUUCACAUUACAUUAUCUCAUGUCUGUGUUUCUAUCGUUACUCCUAUGUCUUCUAACCCUCCCCAGUAUUGUAUCGCUUCCCCUCCGUUGCUACUAACACUAUGCAUACAACUUACGUGCCUCUGAAAUAUAGACAUACGUAGGCCUGUCAUAUCAUCCCUUUUCUCAUAUUGUUUAUCUAUCAACCUAUUUACACGCAAAUGCCUCAGUUCGGCGCCAUGUCGAGUGUAGACAAAAGUGCAAGGCGGACUCACACUUUUCUUGGCGUCGCCGUCACCUAAGCGCCUCCUCAGCGCUCCGCCAAGACUUGUUGAUGCGCGGUAACCUUGAGACGCUGUGACGUGUUUCAGUGUUCGUCCUCGGGCAGAAAGGCGCCGGUGCCAUCGGGAUGAUGAUAAAAAUGGCCAACACUGAACAGAUUGCUUCCGUGGGCGGAAAUGAUGACCAGGCUUGUUGUAGAACCUUUAGUUGGGCUGAGUUCCUUCACUGUUGAACUCGCUCACAGGUUCAGCCGUGACGAACAUAAAGACCGACCAAGCGGCUGAGUUCCUUCGCUGUUGAACUCGCCGGCUUCCCUGUCUGAUCCGCACCACGGAGAAACAUGAAUGAAAGGCCUGGAAAGCAUGGCUGAGUUCCCGUAAGUUUGAAUUCGCUGGCUUUAUCUGACCAGUGCAUGGCCAGGCGCCUGAUGACUGUCCUCAGACGAAACAAUAAUUACAGUAAUAAAAAAUAAAUAAAAAGAUCGCUGACUUGACGCGACGUAACGGUGACGCGAGGAGCAGCGUGAGUCUGCCUUAGUGGUUGGUCGUUUAAGGGUCCUCUAAGGGUCUCUUAAUGGCCGAAGGGAUGCACCAAACCCUCUCUUAUCUCGUGCAUGGCGUCGAUCCUGUGGCAAAAGCAACGCGCGCGCACACUCUCUCUCUCUCUCUCUCACACACACACACACACACACACACACACACACACACACACACACACACACACACACACACACACACACACACACACACACACACACACACACACACACACACACACACACACACACACACACACACACACACACACACACACACACACACACACACACACACACACACACACACACACACACACACACACACUCUCUUCACUGGACCUCUCUCUCCGUCUCACACUUUUAUCAGUUAUUUCUUUUGUGUUGUUUUCUUUCUCCUUCCUUCCUUCCUUCAUUCAUUCAUUCAUUUGUUCAUUCUCUUAGAUCGAAGCGAGUCAAGUAUAGUGGUCAGCAGGCAUCUUUAGCAUGUGACACAAAUCCUCCACAUAAUGUCAAAGUAUAUUAGUACUCCCAUGUUUUAAAAAAAGAACAACACAGAAGUUCCGUCCGUGAGUCAUCCGGCCUCAGCUCGGCGCCAUGUCGAGUGUAGACAAAAGUGCAAGGCGGACUCACUCUGUUCUUGGCGUCGCCGUCACCUAAGCGCCUCCUCAGCGCUCCGCCAAGACUUGUUGAUGCGCGGUAACCUUGAGACGCUCUGACGUGUUUCAGUGUUCGUCCUCGGGCAGAAAGGCGCCGGUGCCAUCGGGAUGAUGAUAAAAAUGGCCAACAAUGAACAGAUUGCUUCCGUGGGGCGGAAAUGAUGACCAGGCUUCUUGUAGAACCUUUAGUUGGGCUGAGUUCCUUCACUGUUGAACUCGCUCACAGGUUCAGCCGUGACGAACAUAAAGACCGACCAAGCGGCUGAGUUCCUUCGCUGUUGAACUCGCCGGCUUCCCUGUCUGAUCCGCACCACGGAGAAACAUGAAUGAAAGGCCUGGAAAGCAUGGCUGAGUUCCCGUAAGGUUGAAUUCGCUGGCUUUAUCUGACCAGUGCAUGGCCAGGCGCCUGAUGACUGUCCUCAGACGAAACAAUAAUUACAGUAAUAAAAAAUAAAAAAAAAGAUCGCUGACUUGACGCGACGUAACGGUGACGCGAGGAGCAGCGUGAGUCUGCCUUAGUGGUUGGUCGUUUAAGGGUCCUCUAAGGGUCUCUUAAUGGCCGAAGGGAUGCACCAAACCCUCUCUUAUCUCGUGCAUGGCGUCGAUCCUGUGGCAAAAGCAACGCGCGCGCACACUCUCUCUCUCUCUCUCUCACACACACACACACACACACACACACACACACACACACACACACACACACACACACACACACACACACACACACACACACACACACACACACACACACACACACACACACACACACACACACACACACACACACACACACUCUCUUCACUGGACCUCUCUCUCCGUCUCACACUUUUAUCAGUUAUUUCUUUUGUGUUGUUUUCUUUCU